CUGCAGUCGAGCGAACUGAUUAGAAGCUUGCUUCUAUGACGUUAGCGGCGGACGGGUGAGUAACACGUGGGCAACCUGCCUGUAAGACUGGGAUAACUUCGGGAAACCGAAGCUAAUACCGGAUAGGAUCUUCUCCUUCAUGGGAGAUGAUUGAAAGAUGGUUUCGGCUAUCACUUACAGAUGGGCCCGCGGUGCAUUAGCUAGUUGGUGAGGUAACGGCUCACCAAGGCAACGAUGCAUAGCCGACCUGAGAGGGUGAUCGGCCACACUGGGACUGAGACACGGCCCAGACUCCUACGGGAGGCAGCAGUAGGGAAUCUUCCGCAAUGGACGAAAGUCUGACGGAGCAACGCCGCGUGAGUGAUGAAGGCUUUCGGGUCGUAAAACUCUGUUGUUAGGGAAGAACAAGUACGAGAGUAACUGCUCGUACCUUGACGGUACCUAACCAGAAAGCCACGGCUAACUACGUGCCAGCAGCCGCGGUAAUACGUAGGUGGCAAGCGUUAUCCGGAAUUAUUGGGCGUAAAGCGCGCGCAGGCGGUUUCUUAAGUCUGAUGUGAAAGCCCACGGCUCAACCGUGGAGGGUCAUUGGAAACUGGGGAACUUGAGUGCAGAAGAGAAAAGCGGAAUUCCACGUGUAGCGGUGAAAUGCGUAGAGAUGUGGAGGAACACCAGUGGCGAAGGCGGCUUUUUGGUCUGUAACUG
rnacentral:rRNA from 1 species